CCUACGGGAGGCUGCAGUGAGGAAUAUUGGUCAAUGGCCGUAAGGCUGAACCAGCCAAGUCGCGUGAAGGAAGAAGGAUCUAUGGUUUGUAAACUUCUUUUAUAGGGGAAUAAAGGUAUCCACGUGUGGAUAUUUGCAUGUACCCUAUGAAUAAGCAUCGGCUAACUCCGUGCCAGCAGCCGCGGUAACACGGAGGAUGCGAGCGUUAUCCGGAUUUAUUGGGUUUAAAGGGUGCGUAGGUUGUUUUUUAAGUCAGCGGUGAAAGUUGGUGGCUCAACCAUAAAAUUGCCGUUGAAACUGGAAGACGUGAGUGUGUUUGAGGUAGGCGGAAUGCGUGGUGUAGCGGUGAAAUGCAUAGAUAUCACGCAGAACUCCGAGUGCGAAGGCAGCUUACUAAGCCAUAACUGACACUGAAGCACGAAAGCGUGGGGAUCAAACAGGAUUAGAUACCCCAGUAGUC
rnacentral:rRNA from 1 species